rnacentral:rRNA from 1 species
GACGAACGCUGGCGGCGUGCUUAACACAUGCAAGUCGAACGGUGAAGCGCCUUCCUUUUUGGUGGGUGUGGAGGGGUGGCGAACGGGUGAGUAACACGUGAGUAACCUGCCCCCUUCGUCUGGAUAACCGCAUGAAAGUGUGGCUAAUACGGGAUAUUCUGGGUCUGUCGCAUGAUGGGUCUGGGAAAGAUUUUGUUUCGGUGGUGGAUGGGCUCGCGGACUAUCAGCUUGUUGGUGGGGUGAUGGCCUACCAAGGCGGUGACGGGUAGCCGGCCUGAGAGGGUGGGCGGCCACAGUGGGAAGGAGACACGGCCCAGACUCCGACGGGAGGCAGUAGGGGGGAAUAUUGCACAGUGGGCGCAAGCCUGAUGCAGCGACGCCGCGUGAGGGAUGGAGGCCUUCGGGUUGUGAACCUCUUUCGCCAGUGAAGCAGGCCUGCCUCGUUUGUGGGUGGGUUGACGGUAGCUGGAUAAGAAGCGCCGGCUAACUACGUG